rnacentral:piRNA from 1 species
UGAGUUGCCCGAGGAUGGAUGGCCU